GAAAUACGUCAAACCUUAUUUCCAUUCUGAAAAAACCGAUCAGUAUCAACCAAAGCACAUUGUUCUUCCCCAAACAAAAUGGUAUCUUCACAUUAAAAAUCUGCAAAUUCCAAAAUUUGAAAUGAAAACAAUGGACAAAGACAUAUCAAACUGGGUCAUGGAGUUUCUCCUUCGAAGCUCCGUUCCCGAUUCCCUCAUCCAUAAAACCCUAACCGUUCUUCCACUCUCCGGCGCCGAUUCUCGUCUCAAAAAAACCCUCCUCCUCCGUACUCUCCAAACUCACCUCCGCACCGCCUCCCUCUCCGAAACCUCUCUCCAAAUCAUCGAAUCCCUCGAGGAGCUUUACCGCAGAGAUGAGAUUCGUGUCUCCGCGGCAAUGCGCAGCGCUUAUUGCGCUGUUGCUGUUGAGUGUACCGUGAAAUAUCUUAUUACUUCCCAUGAGGAUCCAUCCGGAGAGUAUUUUUCCGCUGUUCGAAGGAUCUGGCGUGGUCGUGUUGUUCAAUUGUCGGCUGAGGGACAGAGGAGUGAGCUUCUAUCGGAGGAGUUGUCGCGGUGGGGAGAGGACAUUGAGGCUGCGCUUUGGGAUGUUAGGGCUUCGGAGAGGCUUGCGGGUUUGAAUACAAGGAGAGAUGCGAUGAAUGAGGUUCAUAGGUUUUUGAAGGAUGCGUGGCAAGUUAUGGGACCUUCGUUUCUUGAUUCGAUGGCGAUGGUCUCUAAAGGGAAUGGUUUACGUCCUGAAGGUGUUUGUGGAAAUGCUUCGGGUAGUGAAAAGUUGAAGAAGAGUGAUGGAAGGUUAGAUAGUUUGGGAAAGGAGAAAAUGUGUUCUGUUGUGGAUGAUAACAAUGAUAAUGACAAUGUUGAUGAUGGUGGUGAUGAUGAUGACGACGUGGCAGUGAUGGGUGAAAACCAUGGGAAUGAAAGAUUGGAAGAGAGAGUUGGUACUUCUGUUGAUGCAAAUCAGGAAGUGGGUGGGUGUGAUUCUUCAAAUGUAGAUAAAGAAAUUUGGGAAGGCAAUGUUCGGCUCAAACGCAAGCACUCUGCACUACGAACAUGCCAUAGAGGAGUUAAAAUCUCUGGUGCUGAGGAAGUGAGGCCAACAAAUUUAUCGAGUAAAUAUAAAAUCUUGCCUAGUCCUGAAGUAGAGAAAGUUCGGGAAUCCCUUAAAUCAAGUUCUAUGGAGUUAAAGGCAUUGGUCAAGGAUCCUCUUCCUGAUGCAUUGCGAUCAUCUGAAGAUGUAAGAUCCAAAUUGGCAACAAAACAUAUAAAUCUUGGGCCACCGAGUGAAAAUCAGAGUGGACCUGUAGAUGUACGGCGUUCAGAUGGAUGCAAAACUAUUGUACUUUAUCAGGCUAAGGCUAAUGAUGCCAAUCUUUCAAAGAAGUCUUCUGUUCCUUGUAGUAAUGAUCGCCGCCCCAACUUUAUGGGGCGGGCAAGUUCUGCUCAUACUUACGAGUGGGAUGAUUCAAUUGAUAACUCACUACAAGCUAGACAGCCAAGAAGGAAGAAAAGGAAAUGGACUUCAUUGGAAGAGGAGACACUAAGGGCUGGUGUAAAAAUGUUUGGAGAAGGAAACUGGCGGACAAUUCGAGACUUUUACAGCAACAUAUUUGAAUAUAGAAGUGGAGUUGAUCUAAAAGACAAGUGGAGAAAUAUGAUGCGGUGACACAGAGGAGUUAUUUAAAUUUCCAUGUGUAUAUAUCUCAGGAAGGUGAUUGAUAUAGGAGCUUUGAUGGAAUCUUCUAGUUUUGUGAUCAUGGAUGACCCACUGUUGAACGGGUUUUGCCAGUUCCCGGUCUCUCUCCUCCUUGGUUCAUACUUAACAUUUGACUCUCAAGUUGGCCUGUGGGAUAAACUGCAUUGCAUAUUUACAGUUUAUUCCUUUCUGAUUAUUUUUGUCAUAAAUCAGAUAAAUGAUAAUUUUGAUUGAAGGUUUUAUCAAUGCAAUGCAGUUUUGUUGAAGCACAGUUCAGCUAGUGCUGUUAGUGUGGACCAACUUGUAACCCAAAGUGCCCAUGUUUAUCUUUUUGUGAUUACAGGAAGCUCGAAAGGGAAAGAAAUCAUACCAACUUUGAGAUCUGAAUUGUACUACUUAACUGUUUACACAAAGGAAGCCAUUUGAUGCUUCCUUUUGUUUGAUAAUCUAAAUGCUUAGUUUAAUAUUUUCUUUUAUUUUGUUGCCAUCUAAGGUGUUUCUAAUAUAAACAUUAUAUUAAAACCAAAUCAUAAAUUAUAGUUAUACCGCUUAAGUUAUCUUUAUUAUGAAAUAUAAUAAAUAAAUUGGUCAUUUAAGUAUUAGAAUUUAUGUAUUUAUAUCUAAAAAAUAUUGCUGGUCAAGUUUGAAUUCAAACUUAUAUGAUGACUAAAUUUCAAUAUGUCCCUAAAUUUUGGAUAGCAUAUACAGAUGAACCUUUAAUAUACACAUUUUAACAUUUCGGAAGUGAGUUACUUUUAUUUUCCUCAACAAAUAUAUUUGAAAAUGUAUCUUCGAAAUUUGGAUCUUUAAAAAUGUUACCGCCUUUAAAAAUCUGUAGUAAUUUCAUGUAAAUGCAUGGGUGAAUGCAAAUAGAGAUUGAUUCCAC